UUGGAAACUGCAGUCACAUCCGGUAAAGAAGGAAAUUAUGCUGACCCAAUGUGUAAAGGAAAUAAUGCUUCUAUAAGAAUUAGAGUGAUUUUGAAUUCUGAAAAGAUGAAAGAUUUAACACAAAAAACAAAAAACUCUCAAAACAAUUGCGCGUUACAAAUACAAUUAGAUGGAAACAACAAUGAAACGUUGAAAGUUAUAAACCACAAAAAAAGCCAAGCUAAUUCAAUGAUUUACAAAGAACACACAGCAACAAAUAAAAUUCAAGUUGUUGAUUGUAAAGAAGCGAAAUUAGCCAAUAGCUACGCUACAACCAUCAGUAAAACAAUAAAAUGUCAGAAUACAAUUAAGGAAUCGAAUAUAGGUACAAAGCCCAUAUUAUUAUUAACUCAAUGUGAAACAUUUGAAAGUAAACGGGUUUUACCAGAAGUAGUUAAUUCAAGUUUACCAAGCCAGCUCAUCACGGAAAGGACCGAAUAUAAAGCAAGAAAAACUUUUAGUCUGCCCUAUGGUGCUAAACGUAUUUCUUGUUUCUCAGAUUCAAAACUUGCCAAGACAAAUGAUUAUUCAGACCUUGAAAACGAGUUUCAGCGUUACAAAAACUGA
rnacentral:sRNA from 1 species